rnacentral:misc_RNA from 1 species
CUGAAAAUCACGGUCCGGCGACGAAAAUCGCACUCCGUCCGUGGGGUGGGGGCUGCGCGUUAAACUUAAGACGCCUGAAUCCCAGCCACAAUGCGUGAUCGGGUAUGCUGCGGUUGCGCCGGGCACGUACGCUGUUAAACUUUAUUUGAACAGGAUUGCCGUGGCGUGACGCUCACGCCGCAGAGAUGGACCAGUGAUCCGGUUCUGACAUUCGUAUCCCGUCUCACCCGGCACUUUACGAAUGUCAGAACCAUAGGAUCACUGGAAUUAUAACUUGCUAGUGUCCUUUCGUAUCCGACGUUC